CAGGAUGUAGCUUAUUUUAAAGUAAUUCACUUACACUGAUUUGAAGGUUUAUAGAAAUCUAUUCUGA
rnacentral:tRNA from 1 species